CCUACGGGAGGUAGCAGUGGGGAAUAUUGGACAAUGGGGGCAACCCUGAUCCAGCCAUGCCGCGUGUGUGAAGAAGGCCCUCGGGUUGUAAAGCACUUUCAGUGAGGAAGAACGCCUGGUGGUUAAUACCCAUCAGGAAAGACAUCACUCACAGAAGAAGCACCGGCUAACUCCGUGCCAGCAGCCGCGGUAAUACGGAGGGUGCGAGCGUUAAUCGGAAUUACUGGGCGUAAAGCGCGCGUAGGUGGCUUGAUAAGCCGGUUGUGAAAGCCCCGGGCUCAACCUGGGAACGGCAUCCGGAACUGUCAAGCUAGAGUGCAGGAGAGGAAGGUAGAAUUCCCGGUGUAGCGGUGAAAUGCGUAGAGAUCGGGAGGAAUACCAGUGGCGAAGGCGGCCUUCUGGACUGACACUGACACUGAGGUGCGAAAGCGUGGGUAGCAAACAGGAUUAGAUACCCUAGUAGUC
rnacentral:rRNA from 1 species